rnacentral:lncRNA from 1 species
GUAGGGCCUGAGAGCUCCCCCUCUUGGCCUCCUGACUCCAAUUUAAUGAGGUUUCUGUUUGUUAAUUUGACAGUGAGGUCCUGCAAGGGCCUGGCAUCCUGGGGUCAGUAGUCACGAGGUUGCCCUGUCGGCACAGCGAUGGAUGGACACAGCAGGUCGUAGGUCUGCUGUCUCGGUGGACACAGCAGGUGGCAGAUCCAUGGUCUCAACCACGGUGGUCACAGCAAUUCCCAAGGGACCCUGGAAAUCCCCCGCUGGGGAUGUCAAGGGUCAUACACAGCCGGCCACUGGUGGGAGACUGGAACGCAGUGGGGGCACGGCGGGCGCUUUCCUCUCGGUUCUCUCGUGGUCUAGCAGCACAUUCCCUGGAGAUGACAGAUUGGGGGACACUCCAUGUCCCUUAGCACCCUCCUUCGGGCACUGCAGGUGAGCACUGUGGUUUUGACCUGGCUUGCAGGUGACUUUCUUGUGAACAUCUCCG